GACGAACGCUGGCGGCGUGCUUAACACAUGCAAGUCGAACGGAAAGGCCCCUUUGGGGGUGCUCGAGUGGCGAACGGGUGAGUAACACGUGAGUAACCUGCCCUUGACUUCGGGAUAACUUCAGGAAACUGGGGCUAAUACCGGAUAGGAAUCCUUGCUGCAUGGUGGGGGUUGGAAAGCUUCGGCGGUUUUGGAUGGACUCGCGGCUUAUCAGUUUGUUGGUGGGGUAGUGGCUUACCAAGGCUUUGACGGGUAGCCGGCCUGAGAGGGGGACCGGCCACAUUGGGACUGAGAUACGGCCCAGACUCCUACGGGAGGCAGCAGUGGGGAAUAUUGCACAAUGGGCGGAAGCCUGAUGCAGCAACGCCGCGUGCGGGAUGACGGCCUUCGGGUUGUAAACCGCUUUCAGCAGGGGCGAAGCUUGUGGUGACGGUACCUGCAGAAGAAGCACCGGCUAACUACGUG
rnacentral:rRNA from 1 species